AUCUGCAGCACAAUGGAUAGCGCUUUGGACUUCUAAUUCAAAGGUCGUGGGUUCGAAUCCCACCUGGGAUG
rnacentral:tRNA from 1 species